GGGCCCGCCCCUCGCGGCCGCUAACGGCCGGCCCCGCCCCUGCGUGCGUGGAGACGUGCGGGUGCCGGCGUCGUCGUGGGCUGAGGUGGCAGAGUUCGGCCGCUAUGGACUUUCGGGCGGUGUGGGAGUUGGUGGUGCUGUCCCUGCUGGUCGGGCUGCUGGCCCUCGUGGCGACGGCGGCAGUGGCGCGGGGAUGGCUGCGCGCCGAGGAGAAGAAGGGCAGCCAGCCCGUUGCACAAAAAACAAAUGAACCCAAGAAGCCAGGAUCCAAGAAGCAGAAACAGCAACAACGAAUUCGCAAAGAGAAACCUCAGCAACACAACUUCACCCACCGCCUGUUGGCUGCAGCGCUGAAGAGCCACAGUGGGAACAUAUCAUGCAUGGACUUCAGCAGCAACGGCAAGUAUCUGGCCACCUGUGCUGACGAUCGCACUGUUCGCAUCUGGAGCACCAAGGACUUCCUGCAGCGGGAGCACCGCAGCAUGCGAGCCAACGUGGAGCUGGACCAUGCCACUUUGGUGCGCUUCAGCCCUGACUGCAGGGCCUUCAUCGUCUGGCUGGCUAAUGGGGACACCCUGCGGGUCUUCAAGAUGUCCAAGCGAGAAGAUGGAGGCUUCACCUUCACGGCCACCCCAGAGGACUUCCCUAAGAAGCACAAGGCACCUGUCAUCAACAUUGGCAUUGCUGACACAGGCAAGUUCAUCAUGACAGCCUCCAGUGACACAACUAUUAUUAUCUGGAAUCUGAAAGGCCAGGUGUUGUCCACGAUUAACACCAACCAGAUGAACAACAUCUAUGCUGCCAUAUCCCCUUGCAGCAGGUUUGUGGCUUCAUGUGGCUUCACCCCAGAUGUGAAGAUCUGGGAAGUCUGCUUUGGGAAGAAGGGGGAAUUCCAGGAGGUCGUGCGAGCCUUUGAACUGAAGGGCCACUCGGCAGCUGUGCACUGCUUUGCCUUCUCCAACGACUCCCGGCGGAUGGCCUCUGUGUCCAAGGACGGCACAUGGAAACUGUGGGACACUGACGUGGAAUACAAGAAGCAGCAAGAUCCCUAUUUGUUGAGGACAGGCCGCUUUGAACAAGCGAGCACCAUGCCAUGCCGCCUGGCACUCUCCCCUGACACCCACGUCUUGGCCUUGGCCAGCGGCACCAACAUUUAUCUCUACAACACGCGGCACGGCGAGAAAGAGGAAAGCUUCGAACAGGUCCACGGGGAGUAUAUUACCGACCUAGCCUUUGAUGUCACCGGCCGCUUGCUGGCCUCCUGCGGGGACCGGGCUGUGCGGCUCUUCCACAACACCCCAGGCCACCGAGCAGUGGUGGAAGAGAUGCAGACCCUGCUGAAGCGCGCCUGUAGCAGCAGCACCCGCCAGAGGCUGCAGCAGCAGCUGGCGCAGGCCCAGGAGGCCCUCAGGAGCCUGGGUGCCCUGAAGAAGUGACUGUCUCAGGCUCGGGCACGGUCUUCCUGCCUGUGCCCACCACUGCCAUUUUCUUCCAGGUGCUCCCAGGCAGAAACCUCCCGAAAGAAGCCCUCUGACUUGAUUUUCUGACUGGUGGCCUCUCUGGUCUCUGUCCCACUGAAUGUACUCUUGUCUCCUUAGACGGCUCUUUCUCCUUACUGGUUCUGAUUCCUCCGGGACCGAAGAGCAGGGUGCUUUUCUCCUGAGUGUCUUCAUCCAGCCCUGAGGAGAGUGGUGGAGGACCGAGAGACCUUGACCUUAUGACAGUGCACCCUGACACCCAGAGAAAUUUGCAGAUGCAGAAGUGAAGCCUAGGAACACCUGAGAACAAGGCAGCAGCUUUGCAGGUGGGGCUCUGUGAAAUUGAGUCUUGAGGAAUCUCCUCAGAUGAGAGUCUUGGGUGAAGGCUUCGUCUCUGGCUGUUUCCCGAGCAACCUAUUGAUGGGGAUUAUUAUACACAUGGGUUUUUCAUAGAAGAGGAAGGAAUAUUCCUCAUCAGGGAAAUACAGUGACACAGAAGACACCUGAGAAGUGUCUACCAUGACACCAACUGAGCUGCUUCCUCAUGGGACCAAACCUGUAUCUAACCAGGUGGAGACUAAGUCAUGUAAGUCAAAAUACGCUCCACUCAAGCAAGUUGAGAUUUCCCAGUCUGAUAACACCCACUGAGUCCUGGAAAGAGAAAUUGUGGGAGACCUUGGCAAGUUGGGCCCUGACAUUUCUGCCAUGGUUCCUCCACUGUUUCUCAAGGGUGAAGCAAUACCAGCAACUCCCCUCACCCUGUGCCAUGUACGUAUAGCUUGCCAAUACUUGAUUUUGCUGAGCUGCAGGGGUAGCUUUCUUUCAUAAAGUGUGGUCCCCAGGAAAAGCAGCUUUGUGCGCUAAAUCUAGGUCAGAGCAGUCAUUGCACUUGGCUCUUCUUUUCUUCCAGACACAAGAAAUUGGAGUAAACUGGUGUUAUUCUUUUUCCUUGUAGGAGUCACCUAAGUUUGCAAGAGAUGAGAGUAGUUUUUAGAGAGAGAGCAUUUUAAUGUAAAGCCAUCAGCUUUUUGGGAAUGGGCAGCUGACAAAGGCUGGUCAGUCCUUCAUGAAUGGUAGGAUAUUCCCAGAGCGUAAAGAUAGAAAGGAGGACUACUAAACUCUGGAACAUAAAUGCUGGUACCAAUUUGGAAGAAAGAACUGUACAUAAAUGCUGGUACCAAUUUGAAAGAAACCUGCUAGAGGAUGUUUCAAAAGAUCCUAAGAAUGGCUGGGUAUGGUGGCGCACACCUGUUAUCCCAGCACUUGGGAGACUGAGGCAAGAUGAUCACUGUGAGUUCCAAGUUCAGCCUGGGCCAUAUAGCAAGUUCAGGCCCAGCCUAAACUACAUAAUGAGACUGUGUCUCAAAAAAAAAAAAAUCCUUAGUCACCAUUCUCAUUAAGAUUAUUAUACUUGGCAAGAGGAUCUAGAAGUUCAAAGUUUAGUAUUGUACUGAGCAGGAGAGCUCUGAGCAGAUCUGAACUGACCCUUCUACUCUCUUGGCCCCAGCUGGUCAUAAGGCUUUGCCACUGCUGCUCUUCGCUCACUGUCCUGCACGCUGCCCUCUGUCACCCCCUGUUCUUCUAUGUCUUUAGCCAUGUAAAUUAAAGUCAGGUGUUUGCCUAUUCUUAUCUGUGUUGCCAGUGUUACUGUAUGCUCAGCCAUGUUGAGUAGGGAUGGUAUGAAAUGCUGCUGCUGAUCUGCUGAAUCCAAAUAAAUAUGGUUUCAGUGGUAUCAGGAGCUCUUGGUUCCAAAGGUCUGCCUUUUUUUUUUUUUUUUUUUUUUUUUUUUUUUUUUUUUUGUCUUUUUCUUUUUUAUCGGUACCGGGGAUCGAACUCACAGCUGCCUGCUUGCAAGGCAGGUGCUUAUGCCGCUGAGCUAAAUCCCUAGCCCCGGGUCUGCCUAUCUUGAGAAAGAAAGAAACAGUUCCUAUGAGAGGGUGUUUCUGUUGUAUUACUUUUUUCCUUUCUUUUCUUUCUUUCCUUGAGACAGAGUUUCACUAUGUAGAGCAGGCUGGUCUCAAACUCAGGGCAAUCCUCUGCUUCAGGCUCCUAAUGCUGGGAUUAUAGGCAUGCACCACGAUGCCCAGUUCCUUCCUUUCCUUUGUAGUGUUUUGUAUUGUUUUAAAAACUGAGUAAGAAGGAAACACAGUAGGGCCUUUGAGAGCACCCCAGCAAGAUUCAUAUAGUCCAGUGAUACAGAUUCUAGGGUUGGGAGAGGAUUUAAAGUUUGGUUGAAGCCCCUCCAGUAUGGUUUAGUUUUACUUUUUUUCCAGUGAGCAUCUUAGGUGAUUUAGGGGAAGCACACAAUGACAAUAUGAUUUAAACCUGCAAGAAGCAGGCAUAUGGUAGAGAUGACUGAUUAUACUAGAGCUGAAAGUGGACAUGGGAUAACUGAAAAGGUCCAGGUCCAUUGGAUAACGAUAACCAGAUUAACUGAAUUGGCCACAGGAGAUUAGGCAAUAGUCUUAGAAGCAAAAUAAGUAGAACAGAGGCCAAGUUUUAGGAAGAUGUCUUCAUUUCCUUGGGCUAAAUUUAUGAAACCAGACUGAAGCUACAGUGUCUUCCAGACUGGGAAAAGGUACGCUACCACUGAAGGGAUGAACCCUGCUAGGUUGGAUGUUUAUCAGGAAUCCAUUAGUCCUUUGCUGCAAAGCCUUCACUUACCCUUCAGAUGUAGGAAAGAUCUCCCACAGUAUGCAACAAUAAGACUCUGUGUCCACACACACACACACACACACACACACACACACACACAGCAUUUUAAAUAAGUUCUUUGCAUGCAGUACUGAACCAGAAAGCGCUAUUUUUGUUUUGAUUUUGUGGUAUCUGGAAUGCAACUCAAGACCCUAGGGGCACUUUGCCACUGAGCUCAAUCUGAGCUCCCCCACACCCCUGGGAACUAAGCCCAAAGCCUUUGCACUGAGCAGCAUUCACAGCCAUCUGUUCAUCUGUCUCACCUGUGACAGGGUCUCCCUAAAAUGCCAAAUUGCCCACUAUACUCAAAAGUGAUCUUUCUGCCUCAGGCUCCUGCUGCUGGGAAUUACAGGCUUGACUACUACGCUCAGUGCUGAGUCCUUUUUAAAAGUUGAGGCAAGGUCUCACAAAGAUGCCCAGACUGUGCUUGAAUUUGAGGUCUUCCUGCCUCAGCCUCCAGAGUAACUGGAAUUACAGGCCUGUACAACCACACAUGGUGAACCAAAAAGUCUUUAAACCCAAAUACAACAAUACACCCUUAUUACUGGGAACAGAACCCUGCCCAGAGUAUAAGUACGUACAGUGCUAAGUACGAAUAAGUACUUAUUAUAUAAGUACUUACUUACACUGAAAGUUUGAAUUUUAAGUGGAUGUUAAAAAAGUUUGCCCAUCAGAUAAAGAGAUAAGAGAAUUCCAGGUGGGAAACAAGUACACGUGAAGGUGGGAAGGUAGCUGAAGCCAGGUGUGAAAUUCCCUGUGUUUACAGUCUUUUUAAUCCGAAGUGCAGGAUUGGGAUGUUGCACAACCUCAAUUUCAUGGCGGACAAGUGUAUAAAAUAUUCACUUAAGUUGUAAGAGCAGGUGGGUAGCGACCUCAGACUCCCUUGGGAAAGCCUGAGGACACCGUCAGGCAGCAGCACUUCGCACCUUGCCCUGUGCACAGCACGUGCAGCCAACACCUACUCCCUCAAACCCCAACCAGCGAGGAAGCCCUGGGGACGCCCGGGGCGGGGCGCGCAGGCGCGCUGAGGCCUCGAGCCCCAAGGGGCGGGCGGGUGCGCGCCCUCCCUCGCGCACGCGCGCACAGAGGGGGCGACGGCCGCCGUGACGCUCCGGCGGUGGCGCGUGAGGCAGGCGAUUCCCCGCGUCUUGGGACCAGUGUCCCAGUCGCAGCCGCCAUGUCGGGCCGUUCCGUCCGGGCCGAGACCCGCAGCCGGGCCAAGGAUGACAUCAAGAAGGUGAUGGCGGCCAUCGAGAAAGUGCGGAAAUGAUGAAAAUAGCAACCAGAGUUCCGUGUCUGAUGUCUAUCAGCUCAAGGUGGACAGCAGCACCAACUCGAGCCCCAGUCCUGAGCAGAGCGAGUCCCUGAGCCCCGCACAUACCUCUGACUUUCGCACUGAUGACUCCCAGCCCCCUACUCUGGGCCAGGAGAUCCUUGAGGAACCCUCCCUGCCUGCCUCAGAAGUUGCUGAUGAGCCUCCCACCCUUACAAA